CGGGGAUUAGCGCAGGUGGUAGCGCGCACGGUUCGGGACCGUGAGGUCGGCAGUUCGAGUCUGCCAUCCCCGA
rnacentral:tRNA from 1 species